UGACUAAGAUUACCUAAGGCUUAUCAAAGGAAGACGUCACUGGAACUUCAUUGGAAAGAACCUUAUCAAGCCUUGCUAAGUGUUCAAAUGGAUGACAGGUGCAGAGGCUUUCAGUCUUAGAUCCUGUGUUCUUACUGUAAGAAAACGUUCUCCACCCAUUUGACAAUUUCUUGCUGCGGUCUCUAUUUUUCUUUUUCUCUUAAACACAGGGACCAAUGCCUUGCUUGUCACUUGAGAUCCAGGGAGGUAUGACAGCUUCCAGGAAAUUCCUGCUUCUGAAAAGAAACCUAGUUUAGAAUGAAAUUGGGAGACAGCAGAGGGAACUUCCAAGCCCCACCCCUCCUUGUCAAUUGCAGACCCAACAGGUGGAUACUUCUUUACUAUUCCCGCAGGAGGAAUAAAGUUCCACCCACCUACACCACCCCCGCCCACAACCGCGCAGCCAAUGAGAGACAGUCACAACUCAGCCAAUGAAGAGCCACUAUAUUUCGAACUCCUAGUUUACGCCAAUGGACUUUUGUUUAUAAUAGCCUGCUCGGCACACUCCCCCCUUUCCUCAAUAAAAGUCCAAGUGUUCUCUGGAAAGGCGGUAUAUACAAAAUGACCUUAAAAGGUGGGAUGCUGAAGAAAAAGGCUCACAAGUGCAGCUUGACGGGAAAUGGCUUAUUAAAGGGACUUACGGACAGAAGUGUGUCUUGCGGAGGGGCAAAACUAGUAGAUCUCUGCAGUCCCAUCUCUGGCACCUUGUAAGGCCCCUUUUGAAGGUAGAUGUGGCCCGUGGCUUCACUUGAUCUGCGUACUGGGGCAGAAGUGAUGAGGUGUAGGGAUGCAGCCACCUCUCCGCGCUCCCCAUUCCCGGCCCCGUCACCGUGAGCAUGUUCUGUGAUGGGGCCUUCAGCAUCCUGCUUCGUUGAGUGACGAUGAGCAGAGCCCCAUUGUGGCCCGAGUAUGAACAAGAAAUAAGUUGAGCACCCUUUCAGAGCAAAAUUUGCUUGAAACUUGCUGGCUACUCAGUUCCUCUGCAGCGCAGAUCCACUUCAGGCUGGGCCCUGUCAUCUCAACAACAUUCACUGGAGCCCUGAUUCACGCCGGGCAUUAAUGACAGAUGGGAUGGGGAGACAAAGUCUCUGUCACUAAAGAGAUCACCAGACUAUAAACAAAUGAUUAUCAAAGAGAUGGCGGGUGUAUGGCUAAGGAACAUUUUGUCCCAUGAGAUAUGAAGGGAGAGUAGCUGCCUGGAAGAUGUGGGCCCAGGACUGGAAAACAUUAUCCAUACUGUUUGGCACAAGGUUGGGAUCAAAAGGUGAACUGUUACAUCUAACGCUCAUAUUACCUACAAGUUGAACAAGGACUACAAAGGCUCAUGAGACAGGAAUGCUGGCACAUCUUUUCUGUGCGAAUGAUUCUCAACCUCCAUCCUAGGAUCCGGAACUCCAGACUUGCAUUCAUAUCUCCAUCGUGCACACUUUCAGUCUCAGGUUCCAUGGAAAAUUUCUCAAGGGUGUGAUCAUUUGCUUUAUGCAAUUGGCCUCAUGAUUUAGUGCAUCUAAAGAAAAUCCUUUACCUUUUUUUUUCUUUUUGGAAGAUAGCAGCCACAUCCCUAAGCAAGGCAAGCAAGUCAAGGAACUCUUCACAUUCUGGUGUUUUCCAUUUCUUCUCGUAUGGAGCUUUUAUUUACUAACAAAAUCUUACUACCAUCUUUGAAUCUGUGGUCAAAUUUUCCACUGUGAUCUGACCCAUCUUGGACGAAUCUGGAGCACCACAGAGCCCAGGAACGUGGAGGGGCCCUCAGACCAGGACCGAGUAUUCAUGGGAAGAUGGAGACCUGAGAUGAGCCAUGACCCAGAGUAGCCAUUACAGCAUGUCCAUGGUGAGUCACAUCUAUCUUGAAGGGGAGCAUGCACAGGGUUUCCUUCUAAGAAGAUAAAUGGUACCAAAAGUUGGAGUCCUUUCAUAUUUUUUUCUUUUAGUGCUCAUACACAAUAAUCUAUUAACUUCUGGUUCAAGAUAGAAAACAUGAAUUUGUCUUUUCCCACCUAAAAACCCAUUACAUGACAGGGAAAAAAAAAGAUACAAACGAGAAAAUGAGGGGGAUAUCAGUGUAACAGGAAUAUCAACACAUUUCUGAGAGAAAGGAAGUGGAUGGAGAAGUAGUUCUGAUAAUGCAGGGUGCAGGAAGUUGCACCCUGGAAUGUGCUAGAGGACUGAGAGACAGAGUUGGGUAGAGUCAGAACCCAAGAGAACCAUAAGGCUUGGAAACACCAGGAAUGGCCAUUGGAAGAAAGAUGACUUGGGCUUGAAAACUGGGAAAUAGAUGGCAGUUCUAUAAGUAGAACAUUGGACCCUGCUUACAUGCUCUCCCACCCCAUCCCCACAUCAAAACCCCAGCUAGCAGGCAUCUGCCUCUCAAGCGACUGUUUAGAAUGUAUUUCCAAUAUCUGUACUCUGGGCAGCUGAUUUCUGGAUCAGCCUGGAGUCAAGCUCUCCAAUAAACAAGCCCAGCACAUAUUCACAGAGCCCCAAUCAGGUCUUUGUGGCUCAUUCCUAAAAGCAAAUAAGUAUUACCAGAUAUUUGAAAGCCUGUAAGAUGAAAGUGCUAAAAGAAGAAGCUGCAGUAAUGAAAAGAAUCACCAGGGGGCACCUGAGUGGCUCAAUCGGUUAAGCGUCCGACUUUGGCUCAGGUCACGAUCUCACGGUUUGUGGGUUUGAGCCCCGCGUCAGGCUCUGUGCUGACACCUGUCUGUCCCUGCCCUGCUCACGCUCUCCCUCUCCUUCAAAAAUAAGUAAAAAAAUAAAUAAAUAAAAAAAAAGAACCACCAGGAAGCAAGAAUGAGCUCUGGAAUUAAAUAUAUAAUUGGUCAAAUAAUUCAAUAAAAGAAUAGUAAGAUAAAGAUGGAAGAUAUGAGAGGAUUUGCAACACUCGAGUAAUAGAAAUUCCCAAUGGGUCAGACAGAGGGUGGAUGAUUAUAAGAGUGGUAAGAGACUUGGCCAGAGCUGAAGGACACUAGUUGCCAGACGAAAAGAAUCCACCAAGUUCCAAACACGUGAAUGAUAAAUCUGUGUGAAAUUUCAAAACUCCAUGAAUAAAGAGAAGAUUCUAAAAGAUUUCAAAGAUGGAAGGGAGAGAGGGGACUUCCAAAUUAGACCUGAAAACCAGACUCACGUGGGAUUGCUCAUCUGUAGUCGUAGGUACUGGAAGACCACAGAAGAAUAAAACCUUUCGAGUUCUGAUGGGAAGUGUUAUCAGUCUUUUACUUUUAUAUCCUGUGAAGUGCAAGGGCAGACUAAAAACAUUUUCAGACAAACAAGUAACAAGGACUUUUAUCUCCAGCAUAGUCCCGAUGAGGAAAUUCCUGAGGAUGUACUCAAAUAAGACCAGUGAGUAAAUCAACAAAUCAACAGACUUGGAAUUCAAGCCAGGAGGGAAGUGAAAGGACAAGAACUCUGCAGCUAGGACAGGCUGGAGCAGGAGGAUGGGGGAUUACAGGAGGAGGGGGCUGCAGAAAGUACGGAUUCCAGGGAUUUGCUAUCCUUGAGGAUUUGGAGACACUUCAGGAGAAAAGCCAUGUUUAUUUCUAGAAAACUAUUUUCUUCCAUCUCUAAAAAAAAUUGCUACAGAAUCCUUCCCUGAUGAAUCUAUUCUAUAAUUCUCUACUCAGUGUCCUUUCUAAGAGAUUUUCAGGAGCUGGCUGUUCCAGCAGAACCUACUCAGAAUUUGGGGGUGUGAGGCCUGAAACUCCCUCGCAGGCAUCUGUUGACAAGAAUUGCUAUUCACAAGGGGGGAUAGGCUUUGGAGCUGAGGAAAGUUGGUGCCUAGAGGAGAGAAAGGAAAACUACAAAGAAAGAAUUACAUGAUACUUGUUUCCUAACUAGCUCAGGGUUCCUCUUCAAUCAGCCAUUUAGUCUGGGUAGGGCUCUGCCCUCAAGUCUAAGGAAGGAACAUACACGCCAGGCUUAAGUCAAACAAUGCAUACUGUUCUCUAGUGACAACAUUGGCUAAGGGGCAGUGCGUGCCAUAAGAUGUCCGAUCACAAGGAAUUUAGGACAUUAGCUGGAAAUGUUGAGGCAAAGAUUUUCACUCUUUCCUGCCGGUCUUAAACCUGGAAUGAUGUAGUCUUAGAAGUUACUGGCUGCCAUACGACAAUAAGAGGGCAGAGAGAGCCUCUCUGUGGUUGAGACUGACACACAGUGGGGAGCAGAACCAAAAGAUGGAGAGGACUUAUGUCCUGAUGAUAUUUUAUAAGCUCCUGCUUUAAGCCACAUCAAUGGCCAACCCUGUUCUGGGACUUUUAUGAAGUCCAUAAACUCACUAUCUGUGGAAGUCUGGGUCAAGUUUCCUCUUGUAUAAAACAGAAAUAUUCUUACCUGAUAUAGACUUUAUACAUUUGCUUAUUGAUUUUCAGCUUUCUGAUUGAACAGAAUGUAUUAUGGCAACAGAAAAGGAUAUAUAAAUGCUUUUAACCUUGAAAAUAUAAAAAUGAAAAUACAGAUGAUAGAAACAGAUGGAAGAUGGAAGCAAAGGUAAAUGAAGAACAGGGGCACUGAUUUCUAUAAAUGUUGGGAUCAAGAGACAUAGUCUAUAGGUGAUGAAACAAGAAAUAAAGGUGUAAGUUAGCAUGUGAAAUUACAAAUGUCAUAGGGGUGCCUGGGUGGCUCAGUCAGUUGAGCGUCCGACUCUUAAUAUCAGCUCAGGUCGUGAUCUCAUGGUUGGUGGGAUCGAGCUCCACGUUAGGCUCUGUGCUGACAGCAUGGAGCCUGCUUGGGAUUCUCUCUCCCUCUGCCCCUCCCCCACUUGUGCACGUGCUCUCUCUCUCUCUGAAAAAGCACCAAAGAGAAGGGAAACUAUUCAGGGGAAGUAAAUAGGUUUAAAUUGUGAGACUCAGGAGAAAACUAGAGAAGUUGAAGGGAAACCUUGAGGCUUUGUCUCUAUCCUACCUUUGUGAAGUGUUUGCUCCUCUCUUUGAGCUGAAAGUUAUCCUAAGAAGGUUGGGAUUUCUUUUUCCUUUUGGAUGAUGCAAUUGCAAUGAUGCUUAUGAGUCAGGUCGUCAGGACAUGCACACUUUGGAGCCCAGGGAUGCUUAGCUGAGGGUUAAGAGAGAAAAUCAAAGUGGAGACUUGGAAAAUGGUGAGACAAAGCCAUAACUAAACCGAAUGGUUUGCUCUGACAAUUUUGUCUGUUGGCAUUGGUGGGAAAAAGGGAAAAUUAGCUGAAAAAAUGGAGGAGAAGUUGACUAAUAAUAGCUCACAUUAGAGAAAAUUAGCAAGAACUUUGGUAAAGGUAACUUGGAAACAUGAUAUAACAUACUCAUAACUCCUUACACAAUAGGGAGGUAAAAAAGCCAGAAGGAAAAGAACAUGCUUUCUAUGGCAUCAAAGUGGCCUGAGACUACUCUAGCGUUGACCUGCCUUCCUCUGGCUGAUGAGGGGCACUAGCUAGAUUUUGACCCUAAUACUUUUCCCCUGGAAGAAAGGCUAAGACUCUAGGGAAGAAACACACUGGUUCCAUCUCUCGAAGCAGGAAGCAUUUCACACUGAGCCUGUAGCAUCCUGUCAUCUACUCAAGACAACAAGGAUGCACUCAGAGAUACCUGGGCAGAACUGACAAGGUCUGAAACACCUGCUUAAAAACAGACCUGUGAGGAGAGACUGGCUGCCUCAGUUGGAAGAG